UAGAGGUGGCUCUGCCUGGGCUCCGGAGGGCACCUUCCUGAGGACUAGGUAGAAACCAGGUGGAGGGAGAGCUGGCCUGCAGUGCUGAGAUGCGGGAUUCCCCCUCCUCCAAGGGGAUUACUGCUCUCACAGAUGACCAGGGAAAAACAAAGGGAUUCUUUUGUGGAGUUCUUGUGUUCUCUGCUGUCUUGGUAGCCGAAGACAAUCUCCUCUCACAUCCUGAAUGUUGCAGGAGCAAGACGCUUGAUUCCCACAAGAGGCUGCCCUGUGGUCCUGAACCUCAGCACAGAAGGGCUCCAAGGCCACUGCCCUUCUGACCACACUUGCCAGCACAGCCCUGACCCAGGUGGGGCCUCCUAGGGGCCUCCUGUGCCUGCUGCAGGUCCUUCCUCACUGCCCUGGGUAACCCCUCUCUGAGCUGGCCUGAGGUGCCACAUCAGCAAGUGUGCAGCGCCUGGACUCCCUUCCCAGGGCGCCAUCUGCACACGUGUGGUGCAAGGGCUCAGCCAUCUAGAGUGGAGGCUGGAUUUGGGGGGAGCCUGGGAGAAGACAGGGUGCCCCAGAGCCACAUUAGGUGGUGUGUCCUUUGGGAUUUGCCCCCACAGUCUCAGGGGCACACACCAUCUGAUUCCUUGGCCUCUGCACCCUGGAGUUGGUAAUCCGAGUCCCUGCAGGGCUGGUAGCUGCAGCCACUAAGCCGGGCUGCUCUGCUUUUUCUCAGCGGUUAACAUGUCCCAGCUCUUCUUCAAUGUCAAAAUGUUUUCCCAUGAACCAGGGGGUGGGGAGGCAUUUCCCUGCCUUAUCAGCCCUAGCAACCAGAAGCCCCGUUUCCAGGAAAGCAGCCACUUGAUCCAACCGGUGAGACCCACUCCCUAGCCAGCACUGGCCUGGCAUUGCAGCCCCAGCACCCAGCACGCAGCAGCCAGUGUUUUUUUAGCUGUGGCCACAUGACAUCAUUUCCAAUUGGCCAGCCUUCCUCCUCCCUCGCCCAGCCUCCUCCCCACCCCUGCCUUUCUCCUUUCUGCAGCCCAGGGUGGUAGUUUGUGAAGUGGUGGGAAUGCUUUGGGCUUUUGGCUUGGUGGGUGGGGGGAGGGGGUUAAUUCCCUUUGUUUCUCAAAAUAUCCCAGGCCUGGCUACCGGAAUCACUUCCGGGACAGAGACAGGCUGGCUCAGGCCCUGAGACACAGCUCAGCUGGCUCACUUCGGGUGGCUGGACGGGUGGCCCUGAGUAAGACCCUCCCCUUCAGUGGGGGGCCUCCCUCCCUCCUGUGAAAUGAAAUGCAGUUUCUCUGAACCCCACAUCCUGUAAGGCGCUUGGGGAAAAAUAACGGUGAUGCUCACAUGUGAUCGUUAGGUACUUCCCUGCCCGAGCCGGGCAGCUGUCUUUGAGUAAGUCUGGUGGUGCUCAGUGAGCCACGAAAAAGCAGGACUGUGUCUUGUGAUAUGAAGGGGUUCUUUUCCUAACCAUAUAUGUCUUCCCAAGAGAAGCAAUAAAUAAUGUGGUCACUCUGGCCGGGUUGUCUUGCCUUAGCUGCCCCAAGAGCCCUCUGGCCGCGCAGCUGCUUCUCCUGUUUCAGUUUCCAUGUCCUCUCCACUUUGUAACUCAAGGAGCAACUCGGGCUUAGGAACAGCUGACGACCCGGCCAGGUCCCUGCCGAGGCACCUGGGAGAGGCA